UGUUUAUCAACCGUGUCUUGGUGCAAUGGUGUUGGAAAUGAGGCUCUUGUAGUUGUUGAAUCCAAGGAUCAAUGCAAGACUAAGGGUCAAUCUGAUGAGCACAAGACUCUUCGUCGGCUGAUGCAGAAUCGCGAGGCUGCAAGGAAAAGUAGGUUAAGGAAAAAGGCUUAUGUGCAACAAUUGGAGAACAGUCGACUUAGGCUUGCUCAAAUAGAACAUGAGCUUCAACAAGGUACAUUUGUUGGAAUUGGAGUUACAGCGGAUCAUGGUCAUUCAAUUGUUGGAAAC